AUUGAACGCUGGCGGCAGGCCUAACACAUGCAAGUCGAACGAGUGGCGGACGGGUGAGUAAUGUCUGGGAAACUGCCUGAUGGAGGGGGAUAACUACUGGAAACGGUAGCUAAUACAGCAUACCAUCGGAUGUGCCCAGAUGGGAUUAGCUAGUAGGUGGGGUAAAGGCUAACCUAGGCGACGAUCCCUAGCUGGUCUGAGAGGAUGACCAGCCAAACUGGAACUGAGACAUGGUCUAGAAUCCUACGUGAGGCAGCAGUGGGGAAUAUUGCGCAAUGGGCGCAAGCCGUAUGCAGCCAUGCCGCGUGGAUGAAGCAGGACUUCGGGUUGGAAAGUACUUUCAGCGGGGAGGCGUUACCCGCAGAGGAAGCACCGGAUAACUCCGUGCCAGCAGCGGCGGUAAUAC
rnacentral:rRNA from 1 species